rnacentral:rRNA from 1 species
GCUAGUUGGUGGGGUAACGGCCUACCAAGGCGACGAUGUCUAGGGGCUCUGAGAGGAGAAUCCCCCACACUGGUACUGAGACACGGACCAGACUCCUACGGGAGGCAGCAGUAAGGAAUAUUGGUCAAUGGAGGGAACUCUGAACCAGCCAUGCCGCGUGCAGGAAGACGGCCCUACGGGUUGUAAACUGCUUUUGCACGGGAAUAACCCUCAUUAUGUAUAAUGAGCUGAAUGUACCGUGAGAAUAAGGAUCGGCUAACUCCGUGCCAGCAGCCGCGGUAAUACGGAGGAUCCGAGCGUUAUCCGGAAUUAUUGGGUUUAAAGGGUGCGCAGGCGGGGAUCUAAGUCAGGGGUGAAAGACGGUGGCUCAACCAUCGCAGUGCCUUUGAUACUGGAUUUCUUGAAUGUACCUGAGGUAGGCGGAAUGUGGCAAGUAGCGGUGAAAUGCAUAGAUAUGCCACAGAACACCGAUUGCGAAGGCAGCUUACCAAAGUAUGAUUGACGCUGAGGCACGAAAGCGUGGGGAUCGAACAGGAUUAGAUACCCUGGUAGUCCACGCCCUAAACGAUGAACACUCGAUGUCGGCGAUAGACAGUCGGCGUCCAAGCGAAAGCGUUAAGUGUUCCACCUGGGGAGUACGCCCGCAAGAUUAAAACUCAAAUG